rnacentral:rRNA from 1 species
UAGCGGCGGACGGGUGAGUAACACGUAGGCAACCUGCCUGUAAGAUCGGGAUAACUACCGGAAACGGUAGCUAAGACCGGAUAAUCGGUUUCUUCGCAUGAAGAGACUGUGAAACACGGAGCAAUCUGUGGCUUACGGAUGGGCCUGCGGCGCAUUAGCUAGUUGGUGAGGUAACGGCUCACCAAGGCGACGAUGCGUAGCCGACCUGAGAGGGUGAACGGCCACACUGGGACUGAGACACGGCCCAGACUCCUACGGGAGGCAGCAGUAGGGAAUCUUCCGCAAUGGACGCAAGUCUGACGGAGCAACGCCGCGUGAGUGAUGAAGGUUUUCGGAUCGUAAAGCUCUGUUGCCAGGGAAGAACGCCAAGGAGAGUAACUGCUCUUUGGGUGACGGUA